UUAGGAGGUGAGGAAGACACAGGAGACAUAAUUUCAAUUCCAAGUCUUUUGAUACCGCAGCAGAAAAGUGUCCAGUCAGACAAAUCGGGAGGCAUAGCAGCUGGAACUGUAACAUCAAUUAUUGUUGUUAUUGCUGUGAUUUCAAUUCUCAUUUUCAUUCAUCGACGAAGGUUGUCUAAUAACAGUCCUCCAAGUCUUGAAUCACAAAACAUGGGAGGCGCGCAGGAUACACAGGAGGCGCAUAUCAACAACAAGACCUCUCAGUUUGUAAUGCACCAUGAAAUUGAGGUCGAAAACUUUAGUCCAAACAUUGGAAAGUUGAAUGUUUCCCAUGCAAUUAAUAACAAAACGUACGACCAUGUAAAUUCUAACCAAACCAAUUUAGAUUUCAACAAAUUAAAUACUAAAGUUGGUCAAGAAGAAUACGGAAUGGCGAAAAUUCAAAUUUUAACAGGGGAUUCUUCAGAAGUUGCAAUGUCAAGUAACUAUUGUUUGGCAAAACAAAUUCCAAGUAACACAGAAGAAGAAUCAGAUCCGUAUAUAAUUGAUAGAGACUAUGAUCAUCUAAAUAACGUUAAAAAAAUAGAGGACCCGAUAACAAAAGUAUACGA